GGGGAGCACGAGAGGGAGGGCGGGGGGCACGUGAGGGAGGGACAAGGCUUCUGCACCAUGGAUGUGAAAUGCACUCAUGGGAACCCAACUAACCUCCUCUGUGGCCUUGGGAAAUAGUUAAUAAAAUAAAAACAGAAGUGCCGGAGAAUAUGGACCGGAAGAGUGAGAGUAAGGCAGUAUAUACCCUGUCAGGAAGAGCAUUCAAUCUUAACUUGGCAGCUUCGGCGGACCCCGUUUGGGGCUCGGCUCAAAACCCCUAAUUCGAGCUAAUUGUAGGCGGUGGCGGCAUAGAGCAACCCACCAUGCAUGCCCUGGGUCAUUGUGGUGGGUGAGUGAUCUUGAGGUGGGCUUAUUUGUCAUAGGUGGUGCUGUAAGGUCAUGGCAGACUGAAUUAGCUAUCCAUACAGUAAUCACUUGUCAAAUUCUCUAUAGUAGACAACAAGCGACUCUCGGCUAGAUGCCACGCGUCACGAGACUGUUUAUUUUGUAGCAAACACCACCCAAAAACAAUGGAGUUUGAGUAUAAGUAAACAUAUUUAACGGCUUUACAGUUAUGAGAGGAGUACUCUGAUGUACGUUAAAUCCUCUUUUCUUAGUCUCAAAAUGCAGUGUAAUGUUUACGUUUCUCGGCCACCUCUCGGCUUUCCCAUAGCCAAAGCCCACGGGUUAAACUUCAAACCACAAGGCCUUCAAGAAACAGUGAUCUUAUGUGAAAUUGGGUAAAGCAAAAACUGUAAGGUGAAAAAAGAAGUUUAUCCCGUCUGCUGCGAUUGGCACAGAUUUGGCCUUCACUGGUAGCCUGGUAACAUACACUCCCAGGUCUUUCUCUGCCUCUGUGGUGGAUAGUGGAGUGUUUCCCAUGUGGUAUUGGUAUGCUGGAUAUCCCUUCACUGGUAGCCUGGUAACAUACACUCCCAGGUCUUUCUCUGCCUCUGUGGUGGAUAGUGGAGUGUUUCCCAUGUGGUAUUGGUAUGCUGGAUAUCCCUUCACUGGUAGCCUGGUAACAUACACUCCCAGGUCUUUCUCUGCCUCUGUGGUGGAUAGUGGAGUGUUUCCCAUGUGGUAUUGGUAUGCUGGAUAUCCCUUCACUGGUAGCCUGGUAACAUACACUCCCAGGUCUUUCUCUGCCUCUGUGGUGGAUAGUGGAGUGUUUCCCAUGUGGUAUUGGUAUGCUGGAUAUCCCUUCACUGGUAGCCUGGUAACAUACACUCCCAGGUCUUUCUCUGCCUCUGUGGUGAAUAGUGGAGUGUUUCCCAUGUGGUAUUGGUAUGCUGGAUAUCCCUUCACUGGUAGCCUGGUAACAUACACUCCCAG